rnacentral:rRNA from 1 species
CGGGUGAGUAACGCGUGGGUAACCUGCCUCAUACAGGGGGAUAACAGUUAGAAAUGACUGCUAAUACCGCAUAAGCACACAGAAUCGCAUGAUUCGGUGUGAAAAACUCCGGUGGUAUGAGAUGGACCCGCGUCUGAUUAGCUAGUUGGUGGGGUAAAGGCCUACCAAGGCGACGAUCAGUAGCCGACCUGAGAGGGUGAUCGGCCACAUUGGGACUGAGACACGGCCCAAACUCCUACGGGAGGCAGCAG